rnacentral:rRNA from 1 species
AACGGCCGUACCAUGCUGAAUAUACCGGUUCUCGUUAGAUCACCGAAGUUAAGCAUCAUUGGGCGCGGUCAGUACUUGGGUGGGUGACCACCCGGAACACUGCGUGCCGUU